rnacentral:sRNA from 1 species
GGAAUUGUCAUGGUUUCCUGAUACAUUACCUGGAAUUGGAAGAAUUGGUUUUAUACCCUGGAAUGUUGAAACAGAAGUCCUUCCUCUCAUUUCUUCUGUGUUGCCAAGAACUAUUUUUCCAACAAGUACCAUAUCUUUCGAACAUUUUGGUAAAGUUUGUGAAAUCAUUUUCUGUUUUAAAAAUUAUUAUUAUUAGUUUCUUCCAGUUUCAUAAAAAUGUGUGUUCGAUGACUUAGAAAAGCUGUAAAGUAAGGCAUAGUAACUUGUAAAUACGUCUAUAAAUAUUUGGACAAUGAAUUAACUUUAGAAUUGCUUCAACUAGAGUGUAUGUAUAUAUAGAUAGAUAGAUACAUAGUCUCUCCAUAUAUCUAUAUACACACACAAUGGAAUAUUAUUCUGCCACAAAAAGAAGGAAAUCUUGUUUGUGCCAACAUGGAUGAACCUGGAGGACAUUAGGCUAAGUGAAUAAGGCAGGCACAGAAAGGCAAAUAACCACAUGAUCUCACUUAUAUGUGGAAUCUAAAAAAGUUGAUCUCGUAGAACUAGAUUGUAGAUUAGGGGGUGGGGUAGGUGUGGUGGGGUGGAGGUUGUUGGUCAGAGGAUACAGUUUCAGCUGGAUAGAAUAAGUUCUAAAGAUCGAUUGUGAAACGUGAUGACUAUAAUAAUACAGUUGACCCUUGAACAACAUAGGUUUUAACUGGGUGG